GUGGGGAAUAUUGGACAAUGGGCGAAAGCCUGAUCCAGCCAUGCCGCGUGUGUGAAGAAGGUCUUCGGAUUGUAAAGCACUUUAAGUUGGGAGGAAGGGCAGUAAGUUAAUACCUUGCUGUUUUGACGUUACCGACAGAAUAAGCACCGGCUAACUUCGUGCCAGCAGCCGCGGUAAUACGAAGGGUGCAAGCGUUAAUCGGAAUUACUGGGCGUAAAGCGCGCGUAGGUGGUUUUGUAAGUUGGAGGUGAAAUCCCCGGGCUCAACCUGGGAACUGCCUCCAAAACUGCAUGACUAGAGUACGGUAGAGGGUAGUGGAAUUUCCUGUGUAGCGGUGAAAUGCGUAGAUAUAGGAAGGAACACCAGUGGCGAAGGCGACUACCUGGACUGAUACUGACACUGAGCUGCGAAAGCGUGGGGAGCAAACAGGAUUAGAAACCCGGGUAGUCC
rnacentral:rRNA from 1 species